AGGAAUCUGCCUAUUAGUGGGGGACAACAUCUCGAAAGGGAUGCUAAUACCGCAUACGUCCUACGGGAGAAAGCAGGGGACCUUCGGGCCUUGCGCUAAUAGAUGAGCCUAAGUCGGAUUAGCUAGUUGGUGGGGUAAAGGCCUACCAAGGCGACGAUCUGUAGCGGGUCUGAGAGGAUGAUCCGCCACACUGGGACUGAGACACGGCCCAGACUCCUACGGGAGGCAGCAGUGGGGAAUAUUGGACAAUGGGGGGAACCCUGAUCCAGCCAUGCCGCGUGUGUGAAGAAGGCCUUUUGGUUGUAAAGCACUUUAAGCGAGGAGGAGGCUACCGAGAUUAAUACUCUUGGAUAGUGGACGUUACUCGCAGAAUAAGCACCGGCUAACUCUGUGCCAGCAGCCGCGGUAAUACAGAGGGUGCAAGCGUUAAUCGGAUUUACUGGGCGUAAAGCGCGCGUAGGUGGCCAAUUAAGUCAAAUGUGAAAUCCCCGAGCUUAACUUGGGAAUUGCAUUCGAUACUGGUUGGCUAGAGUAUGGGAGAGGAUGGUAGAAUUCCAGGU
rnacentral:rRNA from 1 species